AAAGGUAAGCUAGCUAGUGCAACCUUUAGGUGGAUCCACAGCUGGCUGCAAAAUUGGAUUCAAAGAGAGCUCAUCAAUGGCACAUUCUCAGACUGGAGAGAGGUGACAAAUGGAGUGCUGCAGGGGUCUGUCCCGAGAUCGGUACUGUUCAACAUUUUUAUCUAUGAUUUUGAUGAGAAAGUAGAAGGAAAGAUUAUUAAAUGUGCAGAUAAC